rnacentral:rRNA from 1 species
GACGAACGCUGGCGGCGUGCUUAACACAUGCAAGUCGAACGGAAAGGCCCCUUUGGGGGUCCUCGAGUGGCGAACGGGUGAGUAACACGUGAGUAACCUGCCCUUGACUUCGGGAUAACUUCAGGAAACUGGGGCUAAUACCGGAUAGGAAUCCUUGCUGCAUGGUGGGGGUUGGAAAGCUUCGGCGGUUUUGGAUGGACUCGCGGCUUAUCAGCUUGUUGGUGGGGUAGUGGCUUACCAAGGCUUUGACGGGUAGCCGGCCUGGGAGGGCGACCGGCCACAUUGGGACUGAGAUACGGCCCAGACUCCUACGGGAGGCAGCAGUGGGGAAUAUUGCACAAUGGGCGGAAGCCUGAUGCAGCAACGCCGCGUGCGGGAUGACGGCCUUCGGGUUGUAAACCGCUUUCAGCAGGGGCGAAGCUUGUGGUGACGGUACCUGCAGAAGAAGCACCGGCUAACUACGUG